rnacentral:rRNA from 1 species
GGGGAAUAUUGGACAAUGGGGGCAACCCUGAUCCAGCCAUGCCGCGUGAGUGAUGAAGGCCUUCGGGUUGUAAAGCUCUUUUGGCGGGGACGAUGAUGACGGUACCCGCAGAAUAAGCCCCGGCUAACUUCGUGCCAGCAGCCGCGGUAAUACGAAGGGGGCUAGCGUUGCUCGGAAUUACUGGGCGUAAAGCGCACGUAGGCGGACUCUUAAGUCGGUGGUGAAAUCCUGGAGCUCAACUCCAGAACUGCCUUCGAUACUGGGAGUCUUGAGUUCGGGAGAGGUGAGUGGAACUGCGAGUGUAGAGGUGAAAUUCGUAGAUAUUCGCAAGAACACCAGUGGCGAAGGCGGCUCACUGGCCCGAUACUGACGCUGAGGUGCUAAAGCGUGGGGAGCAAACA